CAGCGACUUAUAUUCUGUAGCAAGGUUAACCGUAUAGGGGAGCCGAAGGGAAACCGAGUCUUAACUGGGCGUUAAGUUGCAGGGUAUAGACCCGAAACCCGGUGAUCUAGCCAUGGGCAGGUUGAAGGUUGGGUAACACUAACUGGAGGACCGAACCGACUAAUGUUGAAAAAUUAGCGGAUGACUUGUGGCUGGGGGUGAAAGGCCAAUCAAACCGGGAGAUAGCUGGUUCUCCCCGAAAGCUAUUUAGGUAGCGCCUCGUGAACUCAUCUUCGGGGGUAGAGCACUGUUUCGGCUAGGGGGUCAUCCCGACUUACCAACCCGAUGCAAACUGCGAAUACCGAAGAAUGUUAUCACGGGAGACACACGGCGGGUGCUAACGUCCGUCGUGAAGAGGGAAACAACCCAGACCGCCAGCUAAGGUCCCAAAGUCACAGUUAAGUGGGAAACGAUGUGGGAAGGCUCAGACAGCCAGGAUGUUGGCUUAGAAGCAGCCAUCAUUUAAAGAAAGCGUAAUAGCUCACUGGUCGAGUCGGCCUGCGCGGAAGAUGUAACGGGGCUAAACUGUGCACCGAAGCUGCGGCAGCGACGCUUAUGCGUUGUUGGGUAGGGGAGCGUUCUGUAAGCCUGCGAAGGUGUCCUGUGAGGGAUGCUGGAGGUAUCAGAAGUGCGAAUGCUGACAUAAGUAACGAUAAUGCGGGUGAAAAGCCCGCUCGCCGGAAGACCAAGGGUUCCUGUCCAACGUUAAUCGGGGCAGGGUGAGUCGACCCCUAAGGCGAGGCCGAAAGGCGUAGUCGAUGGGAAACGGGUUAAUAUUCCCGUACUUGGUGUUACUGCGAAGGGGGGACGGAGAAGGCUAUGUUGGCCGGGCGACGGUUGUCCCGGUUUAAGCGUGUAGGCUGGUUUUCCAGGCAAAUCCGGAAAAUCAAGGCUGAGGCGUGAUGACGAGGCACUACGGUGCUGAAGCAACAAAUGCCCUGCUUCCAGGAAAAGCCUCUAAGCAUCAGGUAACAUCAAAUCGUACCCCAAACCGACACAGGUGGUCAGGUAGAGAAUACCAAGGCGCUUGAGAGAACUCGGGUGAAGGAACUAGGCAAAAUGGUGCCGUAACUUCGGGAGAAGGCACGCUGACACGUAGGUGAAGUGAUUUACUCA
rnacentral:rRNA from 1 species